UCGUCCGCGAAGAUAAGAGGCAACCAAGUCUAGGCUUGAUCGCAUCGAAUGUAAAGCUUAAAAUUGUGAGAAAGGGCGGCGAGUUCGUCGUGGGGGUGAUUGUUGUAGCAUAGAACAGCCAACGAGGGAGAAGAAUGCGAAAUCUUGAUUUUCACUGUUCCGAAACUGGCCGCCAGGCCGGUCGACGCUCGCGCGAUAACCUUCAAAUCGCGUUAGACUGCACGGCUUUCAUCGAGGGUACAGAAAUUUGCUCAUCCGCCAGCGCUGUACAUCGCUAACCUUCAAAGAAAGGGCUUCACCCCGGAACGGCGGCUAGAAUGCGCUGGCAGAAUGGUGUCACCAUGGCCAAUCCGCCGUCAUGACGCGCCGUCCACUGUUCCGUGCAAGGUGAUGACUUACCAUGGCCGAAAUGGAUUCCACUGAUCCGUAACAAGCGCCAUGCACGCGAGCCUGACGGCGCAGCCCACCGCACCGCCCAGUCCGAGCGAGGCAGGCAUGACGCCUGGUGCUUUCCACGGAUUCCAACCGCAUUUAUCCGGGUCGCGAAACUCUGCCGUAUCGAGAGAAGGUCUUUCCGGCGGCCGUGGAGCGGCGCUGACGAGCGGAUGACGGCUUCGAGUUGACGGCAUCAAGAAGACGACCAGAAGUGCCCCCUCAGUCGUUCGCCUGACUCGCUUUUGUUUCGUUCUGUUUUUCCAUCGACUCCUCGCUCGCUCGUUGCUGCUAUGGUGCUGAUCCCAUGGGCUUCAUCUACACACCGCGUGUCCUUGCCGGAACGCGCAGCUUGCCGGCUCCUCGAGUCUCUUCUGCGGUAUGUGGUCGCCGCAAGCCACUCGACGCGUUGAAGUGCGCGCCUUCACCAAACAGCCAAUUGCUGUAUAGCUGCCUUCGGCGUACCUCCGCCACCCGCAUUUGCUUUUUUUUUCUUUUCUUUUUCCACAGCGCCUUUCGGCCUUGGCUUUACCGCCCCUUCACCCCCCUUACUCCUCCUUACUCCAAACCUUCUUUCGCCACGCAUUCUUACUUUUCUUCAUUUAAUCCUUGUGGGCCGCCCUCGUUUCCGAAUGAGCUUGCGCGAUGGGUGUUCCAUCGAACAGCGUGGCGAUGUGUUCUACACGCUACGCUCAGUUUCAUACUCCGCAGCUAUAGCGCUACCCAAGCAGCGCGGUCAUAGAUGCAUCACUCCGCGCGUUUCGCAGUGCAGUUGUAUUUCAUCUGCGACGCUUUUUAUGGAAUAAUUGCUUCAUACAUUGACAAAUAAAGUUUAUUCCUAUCCUAUACAUUACCACUAAAAGUUGAGGAAGUAAAGUUACGCCAAUUAACGUACUAUUUAUGCAUCUUUGUGCUGCCAGCAUUCGAAGUACCACGUGCCUGCGGUAGGUCAUUGCAGCUGUUCGCAGAAGCGUGUCAGUCCGCCCGGUCGGCAGUAAAUAGGUGAAGCUAUCAUACGCCUCCCAUGUAAUGCGCAGUUAUGCCAUAUUUUGCAACAUAGAAGUGUGAGGCAAUGCUACAUCGAGUGAUUGAAUAAGCUUUAUUACGGAGACCAAACUGUUGAUGCCCGAAGGUGGGCGCGGCCACCUUUUUUCCAGGUAGCCGUGGCCCUGUUCUGACAGCCUAUCCCUGUUCACUAGCCGUAGCUGGUCCUCAGGUCUUGGGCUUGUCAGCUGGGCCUCCCACUGGCCUUCUGUUGGUGCUUGGAUGGGCGUUGUCCGCGCGGGUCCUUUUUGCAUGUGACAUCGAAAUACUUUUUUUUUUCUUUAUCCAGUGCCUCAUCCUUUGCGAUCUACCUACGAACAGAUUGUGUCGCAUUUCUUUGGCGGAGUACAAUCAAGCAGUCGUCGUGUCAUCUCCUUGCUGCUGUCACAGGCACACAACUGCCCACCGUACACUUCCCACUGAAUAAACUUACCUUACACUAUACCUUACACGGGUAUGCUGCAUCCAUCUUGAAACACUAGAUAGACAGCUACCUGCAAAAUGCUUCACAUAACAUUUAUUGCCCUACUUCGCGGGAUCUCAGUAGUUUCUUUUCUCUUUUUCUUUCUUUCAUACUCUUUUUCUUGGACGAGGUGCCAGGGGAAGAGAACAGUUUUAGAUCACCACAGCACUCUUCCAUAACAUCACGUGCACAUCUUCGGCGGAAGAACACCGGGACCGAAUAGUUCAAGUAUACUGUUUCCCAUCGGUCGGCUGCCUUUGCUAAUAUUAUCGCUAUCACUAAUGGCCAAUUCAUGUUCUUACGAGCAUAAGAACUGCUUCGUGAAUGAGGGACAUUCUCAAAGCUUUUCGUUUGUAAGUGCUAUUUGCCAUUGGCCGACAGCCUUCGUUAAUAAUGUGUCCAACGUUAUGAUUCACCCUACUGAUCACGCCUACUCUUACGAGCUGUUCUAACAUAAGAACUGUUUUUAUAAGUAGCUGCCCUGAUUAUAAGAGCAGAAGAUGAAGUUCGAACUGGCCCAUUUGUAGAAAAUGUUGCGCGCUCUCCCAAACUGGGAAACAAGUUUGUUUUAGGUGGUUGUCGUCAUCAUAUACCUUGCCAACUAUUUGAAGAAAACAUUCUUCGAACCUGCCCAAGAUUUUCAGUAUUCGAGACUAUAGGUACAGCUGAGUGUGAUGCGAGUAACUGGAGUCGCGUAAAUCGUGUCAGCUGCUCCAACGCACGGCAUAAUGAACCGCAUGAAUUGGGCCCAGCGGAACCAUGGCCACCGAGAUGGGACUGUGCCACCGCGCGCCGCCCAAUCUCGCCGGCCAUGACUGAGCUUGUGAGUCUGACGCUGCGCCCGCUAGAUUGUGCCACCAGUCGGUGCUUUGCUCCACAGAGUUUCCUACAAAUAAUUAUGCAUGGCACUCAUAGAUGGCGCCAAGAAUCGGAGGGCUGCGCUUAACACCGAUGGCAUCGAGAAGAGAAAUAUGUACAAGAACGGGAUAUUUGACAACAGUUUGAGAAAAAUCACCAGCCCUUCCCCUGUCGAGAAAAUGGGGGUAAGAGAAGCUUGGUCGUUUGUGUAUCUGACCUUCGAUCGUGAUGAUUUUCUUUCUUUCUUUCUUUCUUUCUUUCUUUCUUUCUUUCUUUCUUUCUUUCUUUCUUUCUUUCUUUCUUUCUUUCUUUCUUACUUUCUUUCUUUCUUUCUUUCUUUCUUUCUUUCUUUCUUUCUUUCUUUCUUUCUUUCUUUCUUUCUUUCUAUUUCUAUUUUUCUCUUUCUCUAUCUCUCUCUCUUCUCUCUUUUUUUUUUUGUCCCUGUGCCGUUGAGCUUGGACCCUUUCUGUACUAUCACCAGGAUCGGCCCACUUUUCAGCGUAACACCUCCACCGCCGUCAACACUUGUGAGCCUAUAAAGCUUCGCCUAAAAUAUUGAGCACAACGUGAAUAGCACAUUAUUGCAGAUUCAGAAAGUAUAGCACAUAUGCCAGGCUGGGAACGGCGCCCGCUAUCAUUCCGAAGGCUAUAAUCUCGUGCACCAAUACAUACAAGAGCGUA